rnacentral:lncRNA from 1 species
GGGGUCCCAACUCCCUUAAUUGUAUAAGUGAUCCUCUCAAAAGAUAUGGUAGAAUGUGGCUAUAUGGCAUCGGAACUGGAUCAAAUCUUCUUUCUGGUCUUAUUUGUCUUUGUUGUUGCUGAUGUUGAUAUUAUGGUUGUUGUUGUUAUUGUGGUUGAUAAUGGUGUUGCUGAUGUUGAGGUUGUUAAUAGCGUUGUUGUUG